AAUAGAUACCCAGGUAGUCCACGCCGUAAACGAUGAGUGCUAAGUGUUAGGGGGUUUCCGCCCCUUAGUGCUGCAGCUAACGCAUUAAGCACUCCGCCUGGGGAGUACGGUCGCAAGACUGAAACUCAAAGGAAUUGACGGGGGCCCGCACGAGCGGUGGAGCAUGUGGUUUAAUUCGAAGCAACGCGAAGAACCUUACCAGGUCUUGACAUCCCAUUGGCCACUAUGGAGACAUAGUUUUCCCUUCGGGGACAACGGUGACAGGUGGUGCAUGGUUGUCGUCAGCUCGUGUCGUGAGAUGUUGGGUUAAGUCCCGCAACGAGCGCAACCCUUGUUCUUAGUUGCCAUCAUUUAGUUGGGCACUCUAAGGAGACUGCCGGUGACAAACCGGAGGAAGGUGGGGAUGACGUCAAAUCAUCAUGCCCCUUAUGACCUGGGCUACACACGUGCUACAAUGGACGGUACAAACGGUUGCCAACCCGCGAGGGGAGCUAAUCCGAUAAAACCGUUCUCAGUUCGGAUUGUAGGUUGCAACUCGCCUACAUGAAGCC
rnacentral:rRNA from 1 species